UACGGAGGGUGCAAGCGUUAUCCGGAUUCACUGGGUUUAAAGGGUGCGUAGGUGGGCAGUUAAGUCAGUGGUGAAAUCUCCGGGCUCAACCCGGAAACUGCCAUUGAUACUAUCUGUCUUGAAUAUCGUGGAGGUAAGCGGAAUAUGUCAUGUAGCGGUGAAAUGCUUAGAUAUGACAUAGAACACCAAUUGCGAAGGCAGCUUACUACCCGAAUAUUGACACUGAGGCACGAAAAGCGUGGGGGAUCAAACAGG
rnacentral:rRNA from 1 species